AUUGAACGCUGGCGGCAGGCCUAACACAUGCAAGUCGAACGAGCGGCGGACGGGUGAGUAAUGUCUGGGAAACUCUCAGAUGGAGGGGGAUCUCUACUGGAAACGGUAGCUAAUCCCGCAUACUCUCAGGUGUGCACAUAUGGGUUUCGCUAGUAGGUGGGGUAACGGCUCACCUAGGCGACGAUCCCUAGCUGGUCUGAGAGGAUGACCAGCCACACUGGAACUGAGACACGGUCCAGACUCCUACGGGAGGCAGCAGUGGGGAAUAUUGCACAAUGGGCGCAAGCCUGAUGCAGCCAUGCCGCGUGUGUGAAGAAGGCCUUCGGGUUGUAAAGCACUUUCAGCGAGGAGGCGUUACCCGCAGAAGAAGCACCGGCUAACUCCGUGCCAGCAGCCGCGGUAAUAC
rnacentral:rRNA from 1 species